rnacentral:RNase_MRP_RNA from 1 species
UGACUGCAAGACGACGUGAACGGGUCGAGGUCCAUCCAUUGUGGUGGGCUACGGCCCAGGAAAGUCCCCGGGCCAUUUCUGCAGAGAUGCAGGCUCGGCAACGAGUUAGCUGCAUGGGCUGUGGGAGUUCAGCCCAAUUAAAAUGGGUUGGGCUGAGACGUGGUGGGAGCCUGAUGACUCCUGCUCAGCAGCGGUAUUGGCUAGUUAUGAUGAUAGUCAUUCACGUGGCUCAGUCUAAUUGGGUUAACUGAACGGGGCUUACGUUCUUACAGUC